rnacentral:rRNA from 1 species
GAUGAACGCUGGCGGCGUGCCUAAUACAUGCAAGUCGAGCGAACAGACGAGGAGCUUGCUCCUUCGACGUUAGCGGCGGACGGGUGAGUAACACGUAGGUAACCUACCUAUAAGACUGGGAUAACUUCGGGAAACCGGAGCUAAUACCGGAUAAUAUUUCGAACCGCAUGGUUCGAUAGUGAAAGAUGGCUUUGCUAUCACUUAUAGAUGGACCUGCGCCGUAUUAGCUAGUUGGUAAGGUAACGGCUUACCAAGGCAACGAUACGUAGCCGACCUGAGAGGGUGAUCGGCCACACUGGAACUGAGACACGGUCCAGUCUCCUACGGGAGGCAGCAGUAGGGAAUCUUCCGCAAUGGGCGAAAGCCUGACGGAGCAACGCCGCGUGAGUGAUGAAGGUCUUCGGAUCGUAAAACUCUGUUAUUAGGGAAGAACAAACGUGUAAGUAACUGUGCACGUCUUGACGGUACCUAAUCAGAAAGCCACGGCUAACUACGUG